UACGUAGGGUGCAAGCGUUGUCCGGAAUUAUUGGGCGUAAAGAGCUCGUAGGCGGUCUGUCGCGUCUGGUGUGAAAAUCCAGGGCUUAACCCUGGACCUGCAUCGGGUACGGGCAGACUAGAGUGCGGUAGGGGAGAUCGGAAUUCCUGGUGUAGCGGUGAAAUGCGCAGAUAUCAGGAGGAACAGCCGGUGGCGAAGGCGGAUCUCUGGGCCGUAACUGACGCUGAGGAGCGAAAGCAUGGGGAGCGAACAGG
rnacentral:rRNA from 1 species